GUUGAAACACCAGUUCCCAUAAGAUCACCAAAGUUAAGCAAUGUCAAGCCUGGUCAGUACCUAGAUUAGUAACCUCUCAGGGAAUAUCAGGUGCUGUAGGC